rnacentral:rRNA from 1 species
UACGUAGGGUGCAAGCGUUAAUCGGAAUACUGAGCGUAAAGCGUGCGCAGGCGGUGAUGUAAGACAGUUGUGAAAUCCCCGGGCUCAACCUGGGAACUGCAUCUGUGACUGCAUCGCUGGAGUGCGGCAGAGGGGGAUGGAAUUCCGCGUGUAGCAGUGAAAUGCGUAGAUAUGCGGAGGAACACCGAUGGCGAAGGCAAUCCCCUGGGCCUG